AUAAGUUUAACUUGCACGUGCACGGGAGACCAUUCUCACGUGCACGCAUGGCUCACGAUCAUGAUUUAAUAGUUCGAAAUGUGUUGUUAUGCUAACAGAUCGUGGGAAUUGCGCUUUCUCUGCGAGCAGUUACCACACUGACUAAGCAACAGUGGCAGUGAAAGGAGAGCUCCAAUACGGGGAAUGUUGGUUGCUACAAACCGUUUUCUUUGCAGAAAUCGACUUUCUCGAGAAACUGUUGACUCCAGAAAAGCUUUACGUGAUGCAGUUAUUAUACAAGACGGCAGAGAUUCUAGAUGAGUAACCUGGAUAACUUCCAUUAUUGCACCUGCCAGUAGACGAAUUGCAUGUGUGGUUUAGGCAUAAGUCAUCUGUGUUUCAAUUAAUUAACAUUUUCUGGAUCUCGAUAAGUUCAUCUUUUGAGAUCCUCCACAGAGUUACACAGAAAGUGUCUAUUCUUCAGGGAGCUACCGUGACCAUUUUUCUGAAGAAAUGAGUGCAAAUUAUUUGCUGGAUCUUUUGGGAGACCAGCCCUGCUGAAAGAGAUUUCUGAAUAAAUUGCAUACAUCAUGUGUAUAUCUAUUUACCAUAUAUCUAUAAUGCUCACUUGAAUGAUCUGUCAUUUAUUGUGUUCCUGGCUGUUAGUUUGGGAGUUGCUCUCAGAUAGGGUUUCAUGUAAUUACAUGAGGGUUAGCUGUUAAAUCAGUAAUCUUGGUUUCAAAACUUGAUAAAUAACAAAGGGCGGUGUUUCUUUACUAUGAUGAGAUGGAGCAGUUGAUUAUGCAUAUACGUUGUUAAUUAAAUACCUCACAAGUCACUUGGGAAGCAAGAGAUCAUGUCUGCUUGUUCAUCAAAUGUAUGACUUACCACUUGAGCUAUUGGUCAUACAGCGAUGUAUGGGAAUGUUUUUGCACAUGCCACAGCUGGUUUCCCCAAAAUAGGUUAUGGCUUUUGAUCAGUCUUGUGAUAAAAAAUAUUAUUUAUAUAAGUAACCAAAGAUUCAAUGACCUUCAAUCUAUUACAGUACACUCACACUCUACUAUGGUCUACCGCAACUGGGAAAAUGACUUCAAAUUCAAGGUUCAAGGUUCAACAUUCAAGGUUUCACUUUUCUUGCGCCAAAGCUCUCCAGCUAAGUGUGCGUUUAGACCCGUCUGUUUCUUUCGCGCUCUUUUCAAUUUCGCGACAUGUUUGACAAUUUUCCGAGCUCUUUUCUUACUGCAUUCAAGGGCAGGUGAGAUACUGAAGCCGUUCGUAUGCACACGUACGUGUGUGUACUACAAGACGCUCUAUCUGCACUCGUCAUGUGUACUUCUUUUUCAACGCACCUAGGUCCGUUAGACACGUAAACAUGCAAGAUUGUGCGAGACUGAUCUUUCCCAAUGUGAGUCCAGAGAAGGGCCAGGUGAUCACUGUGCUCAAAGACACUCACUUCAGCGACCCACACAGCAGCCCAAUGAUUCCUAAUGCGUCUGUCUGCAGAAAUCUGGCUGGAAGCAUCAAUCAGGAGGCGGGAGACAACACUCAAGCUGGUGCAUUCUUAUUUGGUGUGUUUGACCUUGAGGGAAUUCGAGAGUUUUUGGCAAUACAUGAAGCCAAAUCCUUUGCCUCACAGCAAAGGAAGUCACCUGACAACUGACACGAUUGUCAUUUUUGUGGAUUUGUAAAGAGACAUUUUCCUGAAGGUCAAGAUUUCAUAUCUACUAAGAAUUGAGGUGUUGAGAAUACCACAAAUUUCAUAUCAGAGGAAGUAUGUAGUUUUAGUGCACGCGUGGACUCAAAUUUUAUUCUAUAUGUAUGGCCUAGCAUCUAUAGUAAUAGAUGGAGCCCCUGUCUCCUAGAGAAAUAGCUAUGAACAUCAGAAACAAGUCCAA